GACGGGGGAUGCGAGCGUUAUCCGGAAUGAUUGGGCGUAAAGGGUCCGCAGGUGGCCCGGUCAGUCCGCUGUCAAAGCCUGGGGCUCAACCCUGGAGAGGCGGCGGAGACCACCGGGCUUGAGUCCGGUAGGGGCAGAGGGAAUUCCCGGUGGAGCGGUGAAAUGCGUAGAUAUCGUUUGGAACGCCAAUGGUGAAAACAGGUUGCUGGGAGUGUGCUGACGCUGAGACACGAAAGCCAGGGGAGCAAACGGG
rnacentral:rRNA from 1 species